UUAACACAUGCAAGUCGAGGGGCAGCAUGGUCUUAGCUUGCUAAGGCCGAUGGCGACCGGCGCACGGGUGAGUAACACGUAUCCAACCUGCCGUCUACUCUUGGACAGCCUUCUGAAAGGAAGAUUAAUACAAGAUGGCAUCAUGAGUCCGCAUGUUCACAUGAUUAAAGGUAUUCCGGUAGACGAUGGGGAUGCGUUCCAUUAGAUAGUAGGCGGGGUAACGGCCCACCUAGUCUUCGAUGGAUAGGGGUUCUGAGAGGAAGGUCCCCCACAUUGGAACUGAGACACGGUCCAAACUCCUACGGGAGGCAGCAGUGAGGAAUAUUGGUCAAUGGGCGAGAGCCUGAACCAGCCAAGUAGCGUGAAGGAUGACUGCCCUAUGGGUUGUAAACUUCUUUUAUAAAGGAAUAAAGUCGGGUAUGGAUACCCGUUUGCAUGUACUUUAUGAAUAAGGAUCGGCUAACUCCGUGCCAGCAGCCGCGGUAAUACGGAGGAUCCGAGCGUUAUCCGGAUUUAUUGGGUUUAAAGGGAGCGUAGAUGGAUGUUUAAGUCAGUUGUGAAAGUUUGCGGCUCAACCGUAAAAUUGCAGUUGAUACUGGAUAUCUUGAGUGCAGUUGAGGCAGGCGGAAUUCGUGGUGUAGCG
rnacentral:rRNA from 1 species